rnacentral:snoRNA from 1 species
CUUUAAGAGUUGAGAUGGCCAGGCACAUAGCCAUUUGGAAGAAAACUUGGCAUGCCUAAGGUCUUUGGGGAGCAAGAGAUGCGUAUUUCUUUUGCCUCACUUUGGCUGCCUACAUGU